CCAAAGCUGUCAUGGCAUAAAAGGCAGCUCUUGGAUUUGUGUCUGAUAUCAUCAUGGCAUUUUCUGUCACAGGCCUUUUUAAAAAGUGGGUAGCAUUUUCAAAGAACAUCCCCAGGCUACAAUUAACCUAAGUAAUUAAGAGUCAGGCCAUGAUUAGAAAAUGUUUCCCUCUUAUUUCAGCAGAUUCGCCUGUUUUUAUGUGUGUUUAAAGUUGGCAAACUUGUUUUGCAUGAAAACCAAAUAGCUUGUUUCAUUAACUCGCUUGGUCACUUUACUACUUAAAUGAAGUUUGAAUGGACUAACUGAUGUCUUCCCUCUGGAGUUUCUCUCCACACUUUCACCUUCCUAGAAAAGUGUUUAAGUCUGAAAUGAAAGUCAAUGUAGUGUUGAUGCACGUCGCUUCACCUGCUAAAUCAGAUGAGCGAGUAUUUAUUUUUUAAUGGGCACCGUAUCUUCUGUUUGCAGGUUCUCCAAAGCCCAAACACGUCUCUGAUGGAAUCCUUCAUGUGCCUUAUAUCUCAGUCAUCUACUGAAAGAAACCUCUACAUCUGCAAUCACGGAGCUACACCACAGACCACACAGGGUCCAGAGUUCAUCCAGUCCGUCACAGUCGGAGGAGAUCUACAAAUGAGUGCAGAGAAGCUUCCUUUUGCACGUCUCGCCUGAGAUCGAAACUUCAUGUAAUGCUGUCAUUCUGUGCGCACGUUAACCCAUGCAGAAGCAUUCUCCAAAACACUUGUUAAGUCACAUGUCAGUGUUUCAAACAUCCUCCAUUGAUUCUGUCAGGCGCUCUGUAUUCUUCACAUCCAUUGUGUCAGGAUGUGCCACCGCACCACUGUCUUCCAGGAAGUGAACGAGGUAAUCACCUUACGUGCUCAUUCUUUCUGUUCGCUCGAGUCGUGAGUCGCUUAAACGCUUCACCACCCACGCUGUGUUUCACUGGAACACCCUGACGUGAAAGAAAAAAAAACUGAGUUCUAAUUACUCUAAAGCUUCCCAAAAUCCUCCCUAAGAGGAAAAAAAUAGCACAUGUACACUAGGAUGGAUGUGUGCAGGAUGAAGACUGUUACAGCCUCAUCCUUUUAAAGGACAGAAGAGAAAGAAGAGAUGCUCAGUGGCACAGCUGGGUGCCAAGCGCUGCGUGCUCGAGAAGGGGAAACGUGUAAUCCAUUCCAGAGUUAAAAAGAGAGAAGGAAUGGGAUGUAUUUAUUAUUUCAUAAGUUUGGGAUUAUUGGCAGUGCUACAUAUCUUUGUGCUAAUUUCACCGUAUUAUAAUUAAACAUUGGUUUGUUGCAUUAUUUAGUGAUGAUGAUUUGAACAUCUUCAUGACUGGUGUGUGUGUGUGUGUUAGCAAAGUGUAUACUCUUUGGUGUUAGGAUGAAGAGAGUGAGGGAGAAGGGUAUUCCUGCACAACCGGAGGCUGCAGUUUCAGGACUGCAGUUCUUGGACCGCAGUUUUAGGACCCUAGUUUUUUUGUGACCGCGCCACCUACCGUACUGGAUCAACACUAAUUAAAGAUGGACGACGUGGACAGCAAUCAGACGGUGAGUACCGAUAUUUAAUUAAGUUUUAUUUUAUAACGUUUAAGCGGUGCGAAGUUUACAUACUGAGAACUGCUAACUGUGAAUUAAUAAUUAAUUCCCACCAAAUUAAGAAUUUGUGAGCUAGUUUUUACUACGACGUUAAUUCGUGGCCAUGAUUUCAUAAAUCCAUGUUGAGUUUUAGUGACGAAGUAUUAUAAGUGAAUCUACCCAGCACAUUAAUUAAACUUAUCCGAUGACAAGAGCAUGGUUGAUGUAUGGUUUGUAAGAUUUACCUGCAGCUUAAUGUAUUAGUGUGAAUACUGGCUUAGUCGUUGUUACCAUAUUUAUGUAUAAAAUAUCUUUCAUAAUUGAACUGCACUGAUUGAUGUGUUAGCCUGUUGUUUUGGCAUUGUUUUGCAAUGAUGAAUGAGGCAUUUGGCAGUUUUAAUAGCUUGUUACAAUUUGGCCUAAUCUGCAGGCCUACUCCACACACAGUCCAUUGUUAUCAUGUGUUAGUUUCUGUCAUGUUCUGCAUGGCCAAUAUGAAGUGAUUUUAUGGAUUUGGUUAGGCCCAUUGUAGGACAGAUGAUUAUAAAA
rnacentral:lncRNA from 1 species